UACGUAGGGGGGCAAGCGUUGUCCGGAUUUAUUGGGCGUAAAGAGCGUGUAGGCGGCCUUACAGGUCCGUUGUGAAAACUCGAGGCUCAACCUCGAGACGCCGGUGGAAACCGUAAAGCUAGAGUCCGGAAGAGGAGAGUGGAAUUCCUGGUGUAGCGGUGAAAUGCGCAGAUAUCAGGAAGAACACCCGUGGCGAAGGCGGCUCUCUGGGACGGUACUGACGCUGAGACGCGAAAGCGUGGGGAGCGAACAGG
rnacentral:rRNA from 1 species